rnacentral:rRNA from 1 species
AGUAGCGGCGAGUGAAGCGGCAAAAGCUCAAAUUUGAAAUCUGGCUCUUUCAGAGUCCGAGUUGUAAUUUGAAGAAGGUAUCUUUGGGUCUGGCUCUUGUCUAUGUUUCUUGGAACAGAACGUCACAGAGGGUGAGAAUCCCGUGCGAUGAGAUGAUCCAGGCCUAUGUAAAGUUCCUUCGAAGAGUCGAGUUGUUUGGGAAUGCAGCUCUAAGUGGGUGGUAAAUUCCAUCUAAAGCUAAAUAUUGGCGAGAGACCGAUAGCGAACAAGUACAGUGAUGGAAAGAUGAAAAGAACUUUGAAAAGAGAGUGAAAAAGUACGUGAAAUUGUUGAAAGGGAAGGGCUUGAGAUCAGACUUGGUAUUUUGUAUGUUACUUCUUCGGGGGUGGCCUCUACAGUUUAUCGGGCCAGCAUCAGUUUGGGCGGUAGGAGAAUUGCGUUGGAAUGUGGCACGGCUUCGGUUGUGUGUUAUAGCCUUCGUCGAUACUGCCAGCCUAGACUGAGGACUGCGGUUUAUACCUAGGAUGUUGGCAUAAUGAUCUUAAGUCGCCCGUCUUGAAACACGGACCAAGGAGUCUAACGUCUAUGCGAGUGUUUGGGUGUAAAACCCGUACGCGUAAUGAAAGUGAACGUAGGUGGGGGCCCGUAUGGGUGCACCAUCGACCGAUCCUGAUGUCUUCGGAUGGAUUUGAGUAAGAGCAUAGCUGUUGGGACCCGAAAGAUGGUGAACUAUGCCUGAAUAGGGUGAAGCCAGAGGAAACUCUGGUGGAGGCUCGUAGCGGUUCUGACGUGCAAAUCGAUCGUCGAAUUUGGGUAU